UAGCGGUUUAUUUUGUUUUUGGCGCUCUAGGACUCAGUCUCCCUCUGAAGCUCAGGCUAGCCUAGAAUUGCCUAUAUAGCCCAAGCUGGCCCUGAGCUCCCGCUCCUCUGCUACUGUCUCACGGUGCCAUCCUGCCCAGUGCUAGUCUUCAUUGAAACUAAAAACUUUUUUCUCAAAAGACUUUUAAUAAUAGAGAACAGAAAAUAGAAACAGCAAUUUCUGAAAGGCAUUUGUGCUCAUCCAUGCCCUCAUAAAGACUAGCCGAUUAGAAGUGUACACUGAGAGUGAAAGCUGCUGCUGGUGUGGUUAAAAGCAUGGGCUUCAGGGCUAGAGUCCCUGAGUUCAAGUCCUGGCUUCAUCACAUGCUAGCUAGCGUAUAGCCCCAGGAAAUUGUGUUUGACUUUUUCAUGUAUAAAAGUAAGGGCGCAGAGUAUAGUAUCUGUACAGUAUUGACUUUGUAACCCUCGAUACAGAUAAACGGCAUCAGAGCAGCACUUCUCACGCAGAGCAGAACUUAUUACACAGAGCAGAACUUAUUACACAGAGCAGCACUUCUUACACAGAGCAGAACUUAUUACACAGGCAAUGCUAUGGAAGUGUUAGGCUUCAUCUUCAUUGUAUCGUUAGUAAUGUAACUGUCAUUAUCAUGUUUAGUAAUAUAUCCAUUUAAGAUGGUAGCAGUAAUGAGGUCAUCGUUCUGAGCUGAGGCAUUUAAAUGUGAACUUUCAAUUCUUUUGUGUGUGCAUAUGUGGUGGAUGUGUGUGUGUGUGUGUACAUUGUGUAUAGAGCCCAGACGUCAAUACUGGAAGUCCUUCUCCAUUGCUCUCUACCGUAUUUUUCAGUCUGGGUUUCUCACUGAACUUGAAUGGAGCUCAGUGAUUUAAUUAGACUGAAGCCCCUGGAAUCCUGUCUCCACCUUGACAGAGUUUGGAUUAUAGAGACACACUCACUACACUUGGCUUUAAACAUGGAUAGUAAAGAUCAAAACUCACAUCCUAAUGUUUGUACACAAGCAUUUUACUGGCUGAGCUGUCUCCCCAUCUCUGCUUUUUAUUCAUUAUUUCCACCACUAAUUCCAUAUCAAAAUAGCUUUAUUCUAAUGUGUGUGCGCGUGCAUGCGCGUGCAUGCGUGUGUGUGUGUGUGUGUGUGUGUGUGUGUGUGUGUGUGUGUAUUGUUUUGUUUUGUUUGGGAACAGUGUGUCACUAUAUUUCUCUGGCUGACCUGGAACUCUGUGUACACCAGGCUAGUCUUGAACUCAUAGAUAUCUGCAUCCCACGUGCUAGGAUUAAAGGCAUAUGCCACCAUGCCCAGCCUGACUUCCUUUGUAAUAUAAUUCACCCCUUUCCCAUUCUACAUCUACCAACUUCAUGGCAAAUCAUUACAAUAGUCUCUGCAUUUCCAGUCAUUAUUCACUGUGUCAUACUUACCAUGGCCAAACAGCCUUUGUCUGAGUUAUUUAUGGCGAUGUUACUUCUCAGUCAAUAGCAUGCAUCUUGACUGCCUAAAGUCCAGAGUGCUCUACCACAGCUUAGUGUCAUAAUAUGACCCGUUUCCCAAACUUACUGCCUUGUUUUAUGUAUACAUUCUUUUUUAUCUUUUAAAAUAUGCAAUUAAAGUUGGUUCUGCAAGAGGAAUAUUAAGCCUUUUUAUAAGCUGCUGUAUCUGGCAGCAUUUCUUUUUUGGCUUUCCAGCUAUCAUCUGGAAAUCAGACAUCGUGGACCACCAUCAUUAAAAGCAGCUCUCACAGAGCACAGUCCCUCUGUAUGGCUGUUCCCCUAACAUGACCGUCUUAGUUCUUGUCCCUCAGGCUUAUUGUGAGUGAAAAGAAUCACAUCAAGUUCAUCACACAGUAGCUAGGAUUGUAUUGUCAGUCGUGAGGUUUCCUGCAGAGAGCAUAUCAGUAUUUCUCAUGGUGUGCUAGAAACCCCAGGCCGUGGGGCAUGUUCUGAUGGCCUUCCUAGUAGCUCCUGAAGCCUGGGAAAAGGAGCUUCCGCCUGAAUUCUUGCUGCAUAUACAGAGGCAUUCCUUUUACUUCCCAGGGUGCUUUUGUGCACUACUUGAAAAUUUUAGUCUGGAAAGGUUAUUUCUUCUUUACUUUGUUUUAUUCCUGUGCAUGUGUGAGAAUGCAGGCAGGUGUGGGAGGGGGCACAGAAAUUCGGGAGUUUGUUCUCUCCUUCCAUAAUGUGUUCUGGCUCAAAACCAGAUUUAUUUAUGGGAGCUAAGCUUAUUAGUGCAUGUCUAUAAUCCCUGCACACAGGAGACAGAAACAAGAGAAUUAAGAUUUCAUGGCCAACUGUGAGUGGUGGCAAAUGCCUUUGAUCCCAACUCUUGAGAGGCAGAGGCAGGUGGAUCUCUGUGAGUUCAAAGCCAGGAGUUCUAGGACAGCCAGGACUAUGAUCUUCCAAGAAAGAGGGGGCAGGGUGAGGGAGGGGAAAG
rnacentral:lncRNA from 1 species